rnacentral:rRNA from 1 species
UACGUAGGGAGCAAGCGUUGUCCGGAAUCAUUGGGCGUAAAGCGCGCGUAGGUGGCCCCGUAAGUCCGCUGUGAAAGUCAAAGGCUCAACCUUUGAAAGCCGGUGGAUACUGUGGGACUAGAGUACGGAAGAGGCGAGUGGAAUUCCUGGUGUAGCGGUGGAAUGCGCAGAUAUCAGGAGGAACACCAAUAGCGAAGGCAGCUCGCUGGGACGUUACUGACACUGAGGCGCGAAAGCGUGGGGAGCGAACAGGA